AACGUAGGACACAAGCGUUAUCCGGAGUUACUGGGCGUAAAGGGCGUGUAGGCGGAGGUGUAAGUCUAUUCUGAAAGCUCCUGGCUAAACUGGGAGAGGCGAAUGGAGACUGCAUAUCUAGAGUGAGGAAGAGGAAAGUGGAAUUCCACGUGUAGCAAUGAAAUGCGUAGAGAUGUGGAGGAACACCGAUGGCGAAGGCAACCCCCCUGGGCCUGUACUGACGCUCA
rnacentral:rRNA from 1 species